rnacentral:rRNA from 1 species
AUUGAACGCUGGCGGCAGGCCUAACACAUGCAAGUCGAGCGAGCGGCGGACGGGUGAGUAAUGUCUGGGAAACUGCCUGAUGGAGGGGGAUAACUACUGGAAACGGUAGCUAAUACCGCAUACCAUCGGAUGUGCCCAGAUGGGAUUAGCUAGUAGGUGGGGUAACGGCUCACCUAGGCGACGAUCCCUAGCUGGUCUGAGAGGAUGACCAGCCACACUGGAACGUGGACACGGGCCAGACUCCUACGGGAGGCAGCAGUGGGGAGUAUUGCACAAUGGGCGAAAGCCUGAUAGAGCCAUGCCGCGUGUAUGAAGAAGGCCUUCGGGUUGUAAAGUACUUUCAGCGGGGAGGCGUUACCCGCAGAAGAAGCACCGGCUAACUCCGUGCCAGCCGCCGCGGUAAUAG